AUGGCGUCCAGGGACGCGGAGAGCAUCUGCAGCAUCCAGAUGGCGACGGGGAUACUGGACGGCGAGCUGGACGAGUCUCCGGGAGCGCUUCAGGAUCAAGAUGAUACUCCGUGCUCCGUUUUGUUUAGCAUGCCGGCCUCGCCAUCGGGGCUCCACCUCGCACAGGCUAUGGCGGCCGGGGCAAAGGUCGAGGUCCACGACCCUGCCAGGCCGCGGCUGAUGAAGCAUGCCCGCUUCCACUCACAGCCGUGCAUGCUGGUCAGAGGUGGCGGCGAGGCGCAGGCUAUGCCGCGGAGCGAAAGCACGCGGGAGUGGGACCGGCAGUUUGAUCACUUCAAGACCUUCUCAGGCCGUCUCGAGCGGCAGCUCUCUAUCCUCCGUGGGGUGGUGCCACACGAGCCGCCAACGGACGACAUUGAGCGCGGUGCCGCGUCCAAGAUCUCCGAGGAGCACACCGACGAGGACAAUGACAUUCCCUCCGCCGACCGCUACUUUGCCGCCCUUGAAGGCCCUGAGCUCGAGACCCUUCGGUCAACAGAGGUGGCGGUGCUGCCCAAUGAUGAGCCCUGGCCGUUUCUCCUCCGAUUUCCGAUCAGUGCUUUCGGAAUGUGCCUGGGCGUGAGCAGCCAGGCAAUGUUGUGGAAGACUCUUUCGUCAGAGCACUCCACGGGGUUCCUCGGCGUGAACCCCGCCGUCAACCACGUCCUCUGGUGGGCCUCCGUCGCCCUCACCGUCAUUGUAUCCAUCACGUACCUCCUCAAGGUUGUGUUCUAUUUCGAGGCCGUCCGCCGUGAGUUCCACCAUCCGGUCCGUGUCAACUUCUUUUUCGCGCCCUGGAUCGCUUGCCUCUUCCUCGUCAAGGGCUCGCCCCGUCUAGAGAGGGAGAUAAACCACAUCGUCUGGUACCUCCUCAUGACACCUAUCCUCUGCCUCGACCUCAAGAUCUAUGGCCAGUGGAUGUCUAGCGGUGAGCGCCGGCUCUCCAAGGUGGCCAACCCGUCCAACCACCUCGCCGUCGUUGGCAACUUUGUGGGAGCACUACUUGGUGCCAAGAUGGGCCUCCAUGAGUUGCCCAUAUUUUUCUUUGCCGUCGGGUUCGCUCACUACCUCGUGCUCUUUGUCACCCUCUACCAGAGGCUUCCCACCAACAUGCAACUCCCCAAGGAGCUCCAUCCGAUCUUCUUCUUCUUCGUCAGUGUACCCAGUGUCGCCUCUAUGGCAUGGGCGAGGAUCUCUGGCGAGUUCAACCAUGGCCCCAAGCUUCUUUACUUCGUCUCACUAUUCCUCUACGCGUCCUUGGUGGUACGCAUCAACCUGUUCAGGGGGGUUCGGUUCUCAUUGACGUGGUGGGCCUACACAUUCCCACCAACGAGCGCCGCGCUAGCCACCGUGUUGUACGCAUCAGAGGUGGAAAACAUGUUGACCCGAGCAUUGGUGGUCGGGCUGGCAGGGAUCGCCACCGUCACAGUCAUUGGAGUCAUGGUCAACACUGUAUACCAUGCCUUUGUGGGUAAGGACCUCUUCCCCAAUGAUGUGUCCAUCGCCAUCAUGAGGCAAAGGCCAAAGUUCAACAAGAUCCUUGCACACCUCCGCUCAUCCAGCCCCGAUGAGGGCACCGUUUAA
rnacentral:rRNA from 1 species